rnacentral:lncRNA from 1 species
CUACCAGCUGCCGGGGGUUUCUUCCCUCCUUGGCUGGGCCUAGAAACUCAUAUUUUAUUUAUGAAAAUUGAGGCCCCAGGAGGCCUCAGCGUAAACAGGAUGUAAAUAUUUGCGGGUGACGGGGGAGAGGUGGUAUUUGACCGGGAGUUGUCCAAAGCGGGGACAAGCCAGACAAUGCUCAACUGGGACCCGCCCACCUCCUUCUCUUCUGUUGGGGGGGGUGCGGCUGUACCCCUGGAUGCAGAUCAGAUUCGGGACCCCAGCGUCCUCUGGGGCCCUUACACACGUUCUGUGCCAGCCGUUUGCUUCUUGAUUGUCGCCUCUUUAAUACCUCGCCCGCCACCUGUGCCCUCCAUCGCCACACCUGAGAGCUCCUGGCGCAUAGUAAGUGCUAAGUAAAUGCCAGUUGCAGUGUUCGCGGAAUCUUGCAGGGUAUCUAGGAUUUUCAAGAUUACAGCCUGUUCCCAAUGGCCUUAGGUAUAAAAGGAAAACAUUUCUAUCUGUGAGACGCAACCGUCUUGGAGUUGGCACCCUCAGGGCUUCCCAAAGAACACGGGGAGCCUCGUAAAAUACACCCCCAAAGUUGGAU